ACGAAAAAUAACGAUACGGGACUCAUCCGAGGCCCCGUAAUCGGAAUGAGUACACUCUAAACCCUUUAACGAGGAUCAAUUGGAGGGCAAGUCUGGUGCCAGCAGCCGCGGUAAUUCCAGCUCCAAUAGCGUAUAUUAAAGUUGUUGCGGUUAAAAAGCUCGUAGUCGAAUUUGUGUUCCGCACCGCCGGUUCAUCGCUCGCGGUGCCAACUGGCGCGUCUGCGGGACGUCCUGCCGGUGGGCCCGUCCCCGCGAGGGGGCGGCCCAUAAACCUACCGCGGUGCACUUCACUGUGUGUCGAGGUCGGCCGGCACGUUUACUUUGAACAAAUUAGAGUGCUUAAAGCAGGCUAAAACUUCGCCUGAAUACUGUGUGCAUGGAAUAAUGGAAUAGGACCUCGGUUCUAUUUUGUUGGUUUUCGGAACCCCGAGGUAAUGAUUAAUAGGAACGGAUGGGGGCAUUCGUAUUGCGACGUUAGAGGUGAAAUUCUUGGAUCGUCGCAAGACGGACAGAAGCGAAAGCAUUUGCCAAAAACGCUUUCAUUGAUCAAGAACGAAAGUUAGAGGUUCGAAGGCGAUCAGAUACCGCCCUAGUUCUAACCAUAAACGAUGCCAGCUAGCGAUCCGCCGACGUUCCUCCGAUGACUCGGCGGGCAGCUUCCGGGAAACCAAAGCUUUUGGGUUCCGGGGGAAGUAUGGUUGCAAAGCUGAAACUUAAAGGAAUUGACGGAAGGGCACCACCAGGAGUGGAGCCUGCGGCUUAAUUUGACUCAACACGGGAAACCUCACCAGGCCCGGACACCGGAAGGAUUGACAGAUUGAGAGC
rnacentral:rRNA from 1 species